CUGCCCCUAGGGGCAAAAGAAGACCCUGAAAUCCACCCCGGGGGCAAAAGGAACACCAAAAUUUAUCCCUGGGGGCAAAAGGAGACCCCAAAUUUGACCCUAGGGGCAAAAGGAUUCCCUGAAUCUCUUCUUGGGGCAAAAGAAGACCCCAAAUCUACCCCAAGGGGGCAAAAUAAAGCUUCUGAACCUGCCCCUAGGGGCAAAAGAAGACCCUGAAAGCCACCCCUGGGGGCAAAAUCAACCCUAAAAUUUCUCCCUGGGGGCAAAAAGAGACCCCAAAUAUGCUCUGGGGGCAAAAGGAGAGCCCAGAUAUGUCUUUAGGGGCAAAAGAGGACCCUAAAUCUACCCUAAGGGGGCAAAAAAUUCCCCCGAACCUGCCCCUAGGGGCAAAAGAAGACCCUGUAAGCCACCCCUGGGGGCAAAAUCAACCCCAAAAUUUGACCCUAGGGGCAAAAGGAGACACUUAAUCUCUUUUUGGGGCAAAACAAGACCCCAGAUUUGCCCCUAAGGGCAAAAGAAGACCCCAAAUCUACCCAAAGGGGGUAAAAGAAUUCGCUGAACCUGCCCCUGGGGGCAAAAUAAGACCCUGAAAGCCACCCCUGGGGGCAAAAUCAACCCCAAAAUUUGCCCCUAGGGGCAAAAGGAGUCCCUGAAUCUCUUCUUGGGGCAAAAGAAGACCCCAAACCUACCCCAAGGGGGCAAAAAAAUCCCCGAACAUGCCCCUAGGGGCAAAAUAAGACCCUGAAGUCCACCCCUGGGGGCAAAAUCAACCCUCAAAUUUGCCCCUAGAGGCAAAAGGAGUCCCUGAAUCUCUUCUUGGGGCAAAUGAAGACCCCAGAUUUGCCCCUAAGGGCAAAAGAAGACCCCAAAUCUACCCCAAGGGGGCAAAAAUCCCCCUGAAUCUGCCCCUGGGGCCAAGAUAAGACCCUGUAAGCCACCCCUGGGGGCAAAAUCAACCCCAAAAUUUGCCCCUAGGGGCAAAAGGAGACCCCAAAUAUGCCCUAGGGACAAAAGAAGACCCCAAAUCUACCCCAAGGGGGCAAAAAAAUCCCCUGAACCUGCUUCUGGGGGCAAAAGAAGACCCUGAAAGUCACCCCUGGGGGCAAAAUCAACCCCCAAAAUUGCCCCUGGGGGUAGGGGGGACCCCAAAUUUCCCCGUCCCGGCUCACCUGCAGCUUCUCGUCUCCUUCUCGGCGUCUCCGGCGCCCCGGAGCUUUUAUCCCGGCCCCGCGGGGCGCGACGGAAGGAUUCGCCCCGCCGGGGGGGGCGCCGCCCGCCCGCGAUGGGGCAAUUGUUGGGGCAGGGCAGGGCCCGGGGCUGACGUGGCCCCGAGCGGGAAUCGUGUCAAGGUUGGUUGGGGGUCACAGGGCCAAAGUUGGGGGUCCGUGAGUUGGGGGAGCACGACCCUACAAGGGGGGAGUCUCAACCAGCCCUACAAGGGUCCCGGCGUCUUAUCGGGGUCUUCCACCCAACCCUAUAGGGGUCCCUGCCUUAUAUUGGGGUCUCCCACCCAACCCUGUCCCAUAUCGGGGUCUGCCACCCAACCCUAUAGGGGUCCCAGCCCCAUAUGGGGGUCUCCCACCCAAGAUUUUGGGGUCAUCGCCCAACAAGGGGGUCUCCAACCCAACCCUUUUGAGGUCCUCGCCCCAUAUUGGGGUCUCCCACCCAGCCCUACAGGGGUCCAGGCCCCAUAUGGGGGUCUCCCACCCAACCCUAUAGGGGUCAGUGCCCUAUAUCAGUUCUCCUACCCAACCCUAUAGGGAUCGCAACCCCAUAAAGGGGUCUUCCACCCAUCACCACCCAUGGCCUGGGGGUCUUGACCCAACAAGGGGGUCUCCAACCCAACCCUUUUGGGGUCCUCACCCCAUAUUGGAGUCUCUCACCCAACCCUAUAGGGGUCCAGGCCCCAUAUGGGGGUCUCCCACCCACCCCUGCCCCAUAUUGGGGUCUCCCACCCAACCCUAUUGGGGUCUCUACCCCAUAUUGGGGUCUUCCACCCAUCAGCACCCAAGAUUUUGGGGUCGUUGCCCAACAAGGGGGUCUUCCACCCAACCCUAUAGGGGUCCCAGCCCCAUAUUGGGGUCUCCCACCCAACCCUAUAGGGGUCCCAGCCCCAUAUUGGGGUCUUCCACCCAACCCUAUAGGGGUCCCAGCCCCAUAUUGGGGU
rnacentral:lncRNA from 1 species